AUAAUAUUUUACAGGUGAUUCUCGCAAGGCAGUCGGGGAGGCUGUUUCGGGGAGGCUGUUGCCACUCGGCGGCCCCUGCCUCGUGUUCAUCAUUCCGGAUGCUGUUUAAACAUGCAUUAAUCUUAGGAUCAGAGCGCUGAAUCGUAACCCCCCAACGCAAGUGUUUGUCGCGUAAGGUCGGUAGAAACUUAACUCGCUUCAUCAUUUGAUGCCGCUUCUCUGUGUUGUGGAAAUCACCUAGCUUGUGGCGUACCGGUGCACCACCGACUGCUUAAACAGCCUGAAGGCAUAACCGAUCGCUAACUCAGCGGCGGGAGGUUUGUUCAGAGGUCAGGUCCUGCAAGAGCUCCGGUCUGCUCCACGCCUUGGGAGGUUUAAGCGCUGGCCGGGACUCUGCAAGACGGGAAUCCCUGUUGCGUUCCGCGAGGCUGCUUUCCGUACACGAAGAGACUGCACGAGGGAAGCUGCCGGUCUCUGUGCGAGUCAGAUGCCAUCAAUGUGGAAGCCGGUGUCUUCUCUGCUCCCUUUCCCCCGGGGCCAGCGCCGUGGGUGUAUUCCCGUGGUCAUGCUCUGUGCGCGCUUCCGCCAAGCGCGCCCGGCUGCUUCGAUUCCCCCGGUGCCCCUUGGCCUCGGCCCGGUCUGGCGCUGGGCUUUGCUGCUCUGGCUUCUCUUUAGGGAACAAAACAAAACCCAGCAGCCGCAAGGAGGGCGAGGGAAUGGGUUUGGCUUGCGUGGGCUGGUACGUGGGGAUGGUUUAAAUCAAAAUCAACGAUCGUUACCCUCGUCUCGAGAGGUAAACAGAAUGCAGUGGGGUUUUAUUCCCCCGUGCUGGCUUUCACCACGUUGCGCUCUACAAAGCGGAUCUCUGAGCUCAAAGCCAGGUCCAAACCCGCUGUAGGUUUCGGAUUGCAGCACCGUGUGUGUGUGUGCAUGCACAUACCUAGAUAUUUAUACAACAGGUGUGCACCUCGGGCUUGCUGCUCUUAUUCUUUGGUGGUAAAACGUGCAACUUGGCUCCAAGCUCUUCCCUGAACUGUCAGGCAAGUGCACGGUGCGAGUUCCGUGUGGCCAGAGUUGUGCUUUCUCCUUGCAGCUGCAGGAAACAACAGCAGCUGUUGGCUUGAGUGGUGAACGCGUGGAAGGAUCCUGUUGUAUAAAUAAAUAGGUGGCGUACGAAGCAGAGCGCCGUUCUGCUCGGAAAGGGGAAAGCAAUCUGUUAACUCCCAAAGUCUUCCCUCCUUGCUAGAGUGAGUUUGAACCUGGGUAGCGUUUUUGCGCAGCCUGCUCCAGCUGUUCAAUUUGCGGCGCUUACGGGUUGGACUCGUGAGACCGGGAGCUACUGCAAGUCACCAGACCGAAGUUAGGGUCUGUGUAAGGACACAGCCUGUGGCCAGCGUUCGUGCGAGUGCCACCGAGUUUCUGCCGGUGCUGCUGGGCACAGAGCGCAGCCGAGCUGGCGCUUCCAGAAGCUGAUGCCUGACACAGACCGCGCGGGUUUCCCACCACACAGCAGGCACAGGGGGGGAUUCCUCCUGCCGCCUCCACGUUGGUUCUGUGCGUGUCCGACACGGUCGAUGAGCUCUGACUCUUGCCAAGUCCCAGCCCCUCGCUGUGUCCUCGUUUGGGCGUGCGCCACGUAAGCCAGCUGCUGUCAUUCCUUCCUCUGCUCGUCCCCACCUUCUCCUGCUUUUUUGGGCUGGGCGUGGGGUGUUUGCUUUGCGUUAUCGCCGACAUCCCAGGCCGUUUAUAUUAAUUUGGCAUGUGCGCAGGGCCCUGAGCUAAGUCAUUCACCGGGGGGUUUUGUUGUGCUGGCCUCUUUCUGAAGCCCGAGGGAGCUGAGGACGUAAGGAGGGGAUGCGUUCUGUGCACUUCAACUCGGGCGGGGUGGGGGGAGCCCGUCUAAAAACAAAAAUUGUAAAAAUAAAAAAAUAAAAAAAAAAAAAAAAAACACGAUCGAAGUAUGAAUGCAUCUGAGAAGCAAUUAUAAUAUAGACAUAUAUAUAUUUUGUUAUGUUACUAAAGGACCAUACUUUGAACUGUAUGUAAGUAGAUGUGGCUGUCUGAACCUUGUGGAUUGUAACACUCGAUACUACUGAGCUCCUGUACAUACCCGCAGUUACAGCAGAAGGAAUUAUUUUCUGUUCUAGCAUGGUAAUUUGUGUAUCGUACGUCUGAAUAUAAACUAAAAUAAAGAUCGCUAAGUUAUCUGAAACCACUGUUGUAAAAUAAAUGUUUUCAAUGCAGAAA